UACGAAGGGGGCUAGCGUUGCUCGGAAUGACUGGGCGUAAAGGGCGCGUAGGCGGUUUGGUUCGUUAGGCGUGAAAUUCCUGGGCUCAACCUGGGGACUGCGUUUAAUACAGCCAGACUUGAGUGUGGAAGAGGGUCGUGGAAUUCCCAGUGUAGAGGUGAAAUUCGUAGAUAUUGGGAAGAACACCGGUGGCGAAGGCGGCGACCUGGUCCAUUACUGACGCUGAGGCGCGAAAGCGUGGGGAGCGAACAGG
rnacentral:rRNA from 1 species